rnacentral:rRNA from 1 species
GUUAUAUGGUCAAGCGAAUAAGCGCACACGGUGGAUGCCUUGGCGGUCAGAGGCGAUGAAGGACGUGGCAGCCUGCGAAAAGUAUCGGGGAGCUGGCAACAAGCUUUGAUCCGGUAAUGUCCGAAUGGGGAAACCCACCCGCUUGCGGGUAUCCUGCAGUGAAUACAUAGCUGCUGGAAGCGAACCUGGUGAACUGAAAUAUCUAAGUAACCAGAGGAAAAGAAAUCAACCGAGAUUCCGUAAGUAGCGACGAGCGAACGCGGACUAGCCCUUAAGCUGGAUUGGUUCUAGGAAAACGCUCUGGAAAGAGCGGCCAUAGAAGGUGAUAGCCCUGUAUCUGAAAGGGCCAUUCCAGUGAAGACGAGUAGGGCGGGGCACGUGAAACCCUGUCUGAACAUGGGGGGACCAUCCUCCAAGGCUAAAUACUACUGACCGACCGAUAGUGAACCAGUACCGUGAGGGAAAGGCGAAAAGAACCCCGGAGAGGGGAGUGAAAUAGAACCUGAAACCGUGUGCGUACAAGCAGUAGGAGCUCCGCAAGGAGUGACUGCGUACCUUUUGUAUAAUGGGUCAGCGACUUACUGUUCGUGGCAAGCUUAACCGUAUAGGGGAGGCGAAGGGAAACCGAGUCUGAUAAGGGCGCAUAGUCGCGGGCAGUAGACCCGAAACCGGGUGAUCUAGUCAUGCCCAGGGUGAAGGUGCGGUAACACGCACUGGAGGCCCGAACCCACUCCCGUUGCAAAGGUAGGGGAUGAGGUGUGAUUAGGAGUGAAAAGCUAAUCGAACCCGGAGAUAGCUGGUUCUCCUCGAAAGCUAUUUAGGUAGCGCCUCAUAUGUAUCCUCUCGGGGGUAGAGCACUGUUAUGGCUAGGGGGUCAUCGCGACUUACCAAACCAUUGCAAACUCCGAAUACCGAGACGGACUGUAUGGGAGACACACGGCGGGUGCUAACGUCCGUCGUGAAAAGGGAAACAACCCAGACCCACAGCUAAGGUCCCAAAUUCACUGCUAAGUGGAAAACCAUGUGGAAAGGCACAGACAGCCAGGAGGUUGGCUUAGAAGCAGCCACCCUUUAAAGAAAGCGUAAUAGCUCACUGGUCGAGUCGGUCUGCGGGGAAGAUUUAACGGGGCUAAGCAGUGAACCGAAGCUUGGGGUGCAUAACUUUGUUAUGCGCGGUAGAGGAGCGUUCCGUAAGCCGUUGAAGGUGGAUUGAGAAGUCUGCUGGAGGUAUCGGAAGUGCGAAUGCUGACAUGAGUAACGAUAAUGCGGGUGAAAAACCCGCACGCCGAAAGCCCAAGGUUUCCUUGCGCAACGUUAAUCGGCGCAGGGUGAGUCGGCCCCUAAGGCGAGGACGAAAGUCGUAGUCGAUGGGAAGCAGGUUAAUAUUCCUGCACCUCGCGUAAGUGCGAUGGAGGGACGGAGAAGGUUAGGUGUACCAGGCGUUGGUUGUCCUGGGGAAAGGCGGUAGGUUUGGAUCUUUGGCAAAUCCGGGAUCCUCUAAGACCGAGCACCGAGACGAGCCUUUAUGGCGAAGUCACUGAUACCACGCUUCCAGGAAAAGCUCCUAAGCUUCAGCUUACGCAGACCGUACCGUAAACCGACACAGGUGGGUAGGAUGAGAAUUCUCAGGCGCUUGAGAGAACUCGGGUGAAGGAACUAGGCAACAUGGCACCGUAACUUCGGGAGAAGGUGCACCCUUUUUGGUGGCUCGUGCGAGCUAUAGCUGAAGAGGGUCGCAGUAACCAGGCCGCUGCGACUGUUUAUCAAAAACACAGCACUCUGCAAACACGAAAGUGGACGUAUAGGGUGUGACGCCUGCCCGGUGCUGGAAGGUUAAUUGAUGGGGUCAGCCGCAAGGCGAAGCUCUUGAUCGAAGCCCCAGUAAACGGCGGCCGUAACUAUAACGGUCCUAAGGUAGCGAAAUUCCUUGUCGGGUAAGUUCCGACCUGCACGAAUGGCGUAACGACAGCGGCGCUGUCUCCACCCGAGACUCAGUGAAAUUGAAAUCGCUGUGAAGAUGCAGCGUUCCCGUGGCAAGACGGAAAGACCCCGUGAACCUUUACUAUAGCUUUACACUGAACGUUGAGUUCGUCUGUGUAGGAUAGGUGGGAGGCUAUGAAACUGUGGCGCUAGCUGCAGUGGAGCCAUCCUUGAAAUACCACCCUGUCGUGCUUGACGUUCUAACCUGGGCCCAUUAUCUGGGUCGGGGACCGUGUAUGGUGGGUAGUUUGACUGGGGCGGUCUCCUCCUAAAGAGUAACGGAGGAGCUCGAAGGUACGCUCAGCGCGGUCGGACAUCGCGCACUGUGUGCAAAGGCAUAAGCGUGCUUGACUGCAAGAUCGACGGAUCAAGCAGGUAGGAAACUAGGACUUAGUGAUCCGGUGGUUCUGUAUGGAAGGGCCAUCGCUCAACGGAUAAAAGGUACUCCGGGGAUAACAGGCUGAUACCGCCCAAGAGUUCAUAUCGACGGCGGUGUUUGGCACCUCGAUGUCGGCUCAUCACAUCCUGGGGCUGUAGUCGGUCCCAAGGGUAUGGCUGUUCGCCAUUUAAAGUGGUACGCGAGCUGGGUUCAGAACGUCGUGAGACAGUUCGGUCCCUAUCUGCCAUGGGCGUUGGAGAUUUGAGAGGGGCUGCUCCUAGUACGAGAGGACCGGAGUGGACGAACCUCUGGUGUUCCGGUUGUCACGCCAGUGGCAUUGCCGGGUAGCUAUGUUCGGAAGCGAUAACCGCUGAAAGCAUCUAAGCGGGAAGCGCGCCUCAAGAUGAGAUCUCCCGGGGCACAAGCCCCCUGAAGGAACCAUGUAGACUACGUGGUUGAUAGGUCAGGUGUGUAAGUACAGCAAUGUAUUGAGCUAACUGAUACUAAUGAUCCGUGCGGCUUGACCAUAUAACCU